rnacentral:rRNA from 1 species
AUUGAACGCUGGCGGCAGGCCUAACACAUGCAAGUCGAGCGAGGGGCGGACGGGUGAGUAAUGUAUGGGGACUGCCCGUUAGAGGGGGAGAACAACUGGAAACGGUAUCUAAAACCGCAUACUAGCGGAUAACCCAUAUGGGAUUAGAUAGUAGGUGAGGGAAGGGCUAACCUCGGCACCGAUCCCUAGCUGGUCUGAGAGGCUGAUCAGCCACACUGGGACUGAGACACGGCCCAGACUCCUACGGAGGCAGCAGUGGGGAAUAUUGCACAAUGGGCGCAAGCCUGAUGCAGCCAUGCCGCGUGUAUGAAGAAGGCCCUAGGGUUGUAAAGUACUUUCAGUCGGGAGGCGUUACCGACAGAAGAAGCACCGGCUAACUCCGUGCCAGCAGCCGCGGUAAUAC